AAGGAAGCCAGUCACAAAAGACCACAUAUUGUACGUUUCCAUAUAUAUGAAAUGUCCAGAAUAAACAAGUCCACAGCGACUAGUGGUUACCAGGGGCUGAAGGCAGAAGGAGAAGACUGGGUGGCUGGUAAUGGAUAUGGGGUUUCUUUUUAGGAUUCUCAAAAUGUUCUAGAAUUAGAUAGCAGUGAUGGUGGCACAAUCUCGUGAAUAUACUAAAACCCACCGAAUUACAUACUUUGAAACAGCGAGUUUUAUGGUAUGUGAAUUAUAUCUCAAUAAAGCUGUUAUGAAAAACGUAGUGACUUAAAGCAGCAAGAAUAAUUUAUGUUCUCAGUAUUCUGCUACUUGGGCAGGGCUUAGCAGGGAUGACUCGUCUCUCCGCCACAUGGUGUUAGUGGGGUUCACUCCUACAGCUUCAUUCCAUCAGUACAGCUGGGGCUAGAACAACUGAUACAACUUAAUUCACACGACUCAGCUGGCAGCCUCCCUCUCUCCAUGUGGUCUCUCAGAAGUCUAGGUCAAGUUUAUAUGGCUAGAUCCCAGGAGGUUGGAGGCUAUAAACUUAAAUCCUGGGCUUGAAAACCCCAGUAUAUGACUUCUGUCACAAUCUGUUGGUCAAAGCAAGUCACAAGACUGGCCAGAUUCAAGUGGGGACAUAGCCUCCAGCUCUUGAUGAAAGGAGUGGCAGGUAUUUACAGGGGUGGGAGGAAUUGUUGGCAGCCAUCUUUAGAAAAAAUCUCCCAGAGAUCAUAUGAAGCUGAAAAAAUAGGACCUUUGCUUCCAGCAAUAAGCAGAACUAAGUUAUAUGGAAAACCCUCUCCUUACAAAACACCUAGAAACUCUUCAUAUAACAACCUUCCUUUCAGUGCUGUACACCUGUGAAAAUAAGGAAUAUCUCCAGGCACAAAAAUGAAGAAUCUAGAUAUUGGAAUGUUAAGUUAGCAGUGAAGCUAUAGCUACCUUACAGGUAUUUGUUGAUACAGGGACUUAAAUACUGGAUUUCAAAGGCUAAAGAGGGAAGAGGAGACAAAGCUAUCAGUCUACUCAAGGUGGAGUGUUGGAACUUACAGCCAUGCACUAAAUUCCCUAGUGGUGUCUCCUGGGAUCACCUACCAAAUAAACUACUUGCGCCUGAAUCCUUGUUCCAAGGUCUGCUUCUGGGAGAACCCACUCUAGAACAAUUGGUACCAGAAGGGAGUCUAAGAAAUAGAUACUCAGAAUUAGAUUCUGGAAUUGGAAGGCUCAACAGCUAGAUGGCAACAAAGAUCCAGUUGGUGACAGUAACUGGAGUAGGUAUUAUGGUGGAUUAAAGAUAGCUGCAAAUUAUUUGACACUCUUCCCUUCAAGAGGUGGGGUCUGUGCCCCUCCUGAAUCUGAGUAGGCUCUGUAACUGUUUUGACCAGACAUGACUCAGCCAGCUUCUGGCCCCAGACUUUGAAAGGUUGGCCACUUCCCCACUUCCUACCCCCGGAACACCCUCUGGUGGCCUUGAGCCACCACGUAUGAAGACUCACUACUGAGACCAUAUAUUGGGAAAGCCAUGGGUAGGUGCUCUAGCUGACAGUCCCACGUGAGCCCAGCCUUCCAGCCAUCCCUGCUAAGAUGCCACAUAUGUGUGAACCUGACUUGGCCCCUUCAGACCAGACCAUAUGCAAACUGAAUGACCUCAGUCAAUGCCAUAUGGAGCAAAGGAAUCACCUGGCCCAAAUUCCUAACCCACAAAAUCAUGAGAGGUAAUAAAACAGCUAUUGUUUUGAGCAGUUAAGUUGUGGGGAAAUUUGUUAUGCAGCAACAGCUAGCUGAAACUUGUUGUGAUAACACUUGGCAUGCUGAAUCUCAUAAUUACUAAGACUCAUCUCUUCUGCCCUGGGAUGGGGCACAUUGGGGAAGGGGGUACACUGGCUUAGGCAAUGUCGCUAACAUUUGAGAUACAUGGGGCAAUGGUAAUUUAUAUGGAAAGUGAACUUGAUUAUUAUUAAGUGGCAAUGAUGUGCUGAGGGAGAAAAUAACAGGCUCAGGACAGACAUUUAUCAAUCCAUGGCCCAGUGUGAAAGCCAGGAGUUUUCAAUAUCAGUGUUUAAAGACUCUUGUCUACUGCAGCCUGUACUGGUGAAGGCCCAGAACCUGCCUGAGAAGAGGGGAGUUCUGAAGCAGGCCAAAAAGAUGACUCUGCUAAAGCCUGUGCUCCAGUCAUGGUCACAGAAGGGAAGGAGUGGGACACUGAAACCUAGCAGGGGGACAUCUGGUAGAUGGGCUUAAGGAUCUUGAACCCCAGAUUCCCAUUAACCCCCUGAGCCAGUAGAAGUGGCCCAUUCCCUCUUGCUUAAGAAUAGCAGCCUCUUACCUGGAGACCACGCAAAGUCCCCCCUGUGAUGGUUAAUUCUUUUUUUUUUUUUUUUUCCCCAUGAGGCUUGCGGGACCUCAGUUCCCUGACCUGGGACCAAACCUGGACCCCAGCAAUGAAAGCCCAGAAUCCCAACCACUAGGCCAGCAGGGAGCUCCCUGUGAUUGUUAAUUCUGUCAGCUUGACAGGGAUAAGGGAGCCCAGAUAACUGCCCAGCUGGGGAAGUCCUGCCCCUGCCAUGAGAGAACUGAGAUGAUUCCCCACACUGGCUGCAGAAACUGGCCGAGAUGUGCCAGCAGAACAAGACCAUGUCCAAGCGCUGAGGACAGUGCCAGGAGUAUCCACUGCUAUUUGUGGAAUGGAUUAAUGAAUGAACGGAAAGUAGAGGUCGCACCCGUGAGCGGCCCAGCUCUACGGAAUUUACCCCCACAUUCACGCGCAGACUUUAAUCCGAGCAAAUGGAGGUGGCGCCCUGGGAGGACGGCGGGAGGGA